ensembl:lncRNA
UUGAACUCAAAAGCACAGCUUUAUUGCUGGAAACAGAUCACAAACAAUACAAAACUAAACUGGGAAAACUAAUCAUAAAGCAUACCAGGAGACACGGGGAGAAUCACACACAGCAGGAGGGAGAACGCGACACAGAACUGAGGGAGACACAGACAUAAAUACACAGAGGGUUAACGAGGGAAGUGGGAGCACACGGGGAACACAGGUGACACUGAUAAUCAUAACAAGACACGGCAGGAGUGAACGCAACACUGACGGGAGACUGACAAAGUAAAACAGGAAGUACAGAGGUUCAGACAGGAGGAGCGAGUGCACGACACAGCGGGCUGGGGAAAGCAUGAACUAAAACACAAGGAGGGGAAACGAGGGUUCACAGAUACGGAAGGGCACACAGAAGUGCAGCAGUUGAACCAGAGUGUGCAGCAGUAGGUCAGAAGGCUCUCGAUGGUGGAGCGGUAGAAGUUUACUAGCAGUCUCUGGGAUAAUUGUGCCUGAUGCAGCUUCCUGAGAAAGUACAGCCUUUGUUGUGCUUUCCCUACCUGGUGGGAAAUGUUCGUGGACCAGGGUCGGAGACCUUCACCUUGUUUGGAUGACAGCCUGCUCCGAUAUUCAUCUGUGGGCACAAACACCAAAACUCAAGAGACUUUUCAGUGAGAAGAAAAGACAAACCCUGCAUGCCAGAGUGAAAGUGAGAGUGUGUGUGAGUGCAUACUCACCCUGAAUGGACUCUCAGUCUCCCCAGGAGACCAUCACAGUCUGCUUCACAGGCUUACGUGGGGUGUAGGUGCAGGUGUAUGUGCUGUUGCCAUUAUCCUUAACCUGGACAUCCACAGAAUUGACUUCACCAUCCUGUGCAGAAGACAAGGGAUUAGUUCUAUCAGAUUUAACACACCGUAGUUUUCGGACCAUAAGGCGCACUGUUGAUGAACAGGUCUGGUUUCAUACAUGAGGCGCACUGGAUUAUAAAACGCAUUAAGCGAAACAAAACAGUCAGAUAAGUCAAACUUUACUCGACUCUUUCUUCUAGCUUCC